rnacentral:lncRNA from 1 species
UAAACGAACGCGUUGGCGAAGUCGGUUCGGCAAUUCGUCGAGCCGUUGCGAAGUUAUUAAAGAAACGGACGUUUAAGCUUCGUUUUCGCCUGGAGGGCCGAGGCGACAUCGUAUACUCAUGAAAACGGAUUUGAAGUAUCGUGGUACAUAACCGAAGACCUUUAAUUUCCGGAUCGUGAAUUGGAGGCCGUUCGGGUGGUCGCGCGAGAGAUCGGGCCAAACCGGAUGCCGGGUGCCGCGGGAGGCCGAUUGCAAGUGUCGACAAGCAAUCGGAAUGCGAAAUGAGGUGGAUUGUGCUCACCGAAGCGACUAGGUCGCCUAUAUGUCUAAGAGUAAUGGUUUUCUAAUUGAUGCAUAUAGUUGUGUUGGUAGGCUUACAUGAUGAUAUGAAUGCUUGAAACAUACUAUGUAGUUGAGAUUACCUACCAAUGAGAUGAGAUGCAUAAUGAAUUAAAUGCUAAAAGAAUGCAUGAGAUGCUAAGUAUGGACUAUUUUGGAUAAUGCCUAUAUGUAUGAUGACAUAUUAUGAAUUAACAUAUUGUGGAUUAUGUUAAAUAGAAAAACAUACUUGAUGACAUAUUGUCAUAUUGUGGAACAUAGUAGAUAGAAAUGUAUGCAUGUUGAUAUAUCUUGAGAUAUGAGUUGAUAUAUAUGCACGUUGAUAUAUUGUGGACUAUGUUAAAUAACAUAUGCAUGUUGAACUUAGGUCUAUAACUCUUGGAUGGUUAGAAAACUCGACAUUGGAAAACAAUGACAUAUGAACUAUGAUAUGUGACGUGGACAAUCUAUAUAUAUUAGAUCGAGUGGCAUAUGAUUAGUAUAGUGGAAACACUUAUGGUAUGUUGAACACUUAGAAAACAAGUGUGGCACGAGUCCGAGAAUAUAGUAGUGUAUAUGACACAAGUGAUAGCAAAGAAUGCAAAGAAAAGAAUGAUUGAAAUAUUAUGACAUUUCAACUCUAGAGUUAGGGUCAUUUGAGCAUAGUUUUCCUAAAGUUAAGGAAUUGAUUGAACUUGACAUCCUCAAGAUUUUGGAUUUGAUCAUUGAUCAUACUCACCUUUAGUCCUUGCUCGAGGUUGUGGUAGCUCCCCCUCGGGCAAUGUGCUCCGGAGUCGACAUCACUGGGUUGUAGCGGUUAUCUCCCCAGAGGACGGUCCCACCGGGUUGUAGCGGGUAUCUCCCCGGUUAAUGGGAUUUUGGGUUGGUGAGUUUGUUGAGGGCGAAACCUUCGGGUUAGCCAAGAGAUUGGGUAACAAGCACAUGAGCUAUAAUAAUAUCCUAGUUGAGUGGACUUAAGGCUGAGGUGCAAGUAAGACGUCCUUCGCCUCGAGCCUGCCUUUGCGCGGUACUCCGCGAAUGAUUGACUCGAGACCGAGUCGGGUUGAUAGUUGGUAAAGGUAAAUGAGACCCUAUGAUCAGAAUGGUAAUUGAUAUUAGUUUAAAAUAGAGAAAUAACUUCGAGGUCAAUUGAAUGAGCUAUGAAUAGCAGGAUUAAAGUAGUUUCGAUUGAACUACUAAUUGGUUGCAUAAAUCGCAUGAUUUUCAUAUUGCAUGGUUGUGAGGCAUGACAUAUAUUUCAAUUAUCGCAUAUAUAUAUAUAUAUCUGUUGGAUAUUUGUUGGACUAACAUGUUGCAGUGCCUCCCUUGGACCUAUUGGUCGAGCUUUUCCCUUAGGUAGCCGUACCCAUUGGAACCAUCGAGUUGGUUCUCACUCCACGUUGUUUUGGGGUGUUACAGGUUCACACAUGAGCAGCGCAGCGGCGCGAGGCGAGGGCGUAGCUCCAUAGUUAGCACCCUACCACCGAGACCAGAGAUAGCGGUACCCCGAGUCAGCCUAGUUAGGGGUGUAGAAGAAAAGAAAAGGAAAGAAUGAACAAUGUUGUAAUAAUUUUGAUUGUAUUUGGAAGUUAAAUGUAAAAUGUAAUUGUGAUGUAAAAUAUAUCUAGUGAAUGUGAAUGCUUGUAAUAACAAGUAGAUUAUGUUUUUGAUACUUCCUUAUGCAAUCUUUGAUUGAAAUGUGUUCAUAGUUGGAACUUUGUACAUUGUAUUGAUUGCGACGCCUUGUAUGUAUAGGGGAGACUCUGUCCGCGGUACCGGAAAAACUCUGUCCGUUCGGCGGUCUGUCGGCGUGCCCGAAACCGGCCAAAUAGGCGGGCUCGGAGCGUGACAUGACAAGACCCUUUAAAUUUUUCUCUCACAUAUAUUUUAAUUAAAUAUAUUA